rnacentral:rRNA from 1 species
CGCAGCAAACGCAUUAAGUGCCCCUCCUGGGGAGUACGGCCGCAAGGCUAAAACUCAAAGAAAUUGACGGGGGCCCGCACAAGCGGCGGAGCAUGCGGAUUAAUUCGAUGCAACGCGAAGAACCUUACCAAGGCUUGACAUGCACCGGUAACACUCAGAGAUGGGUGCCCCGCAAGGUCGGUGCACAGGUGGUGCAUGGUUGUCGUCAGCUCGUGUCGUGAGAUGUUGGGUUAAGUCCCGCAACGAGCGCAACCCUCGUCCCAUGUUGCCAGCGGGUUAUGCCGGGGACUCAUGGGAGACUGCCGGGGUCAACUCGGAGGAAGGUGGGGAUGACGUCAAAUCAUCAUGCCCCUUAUGUCUUGGGCUUCACGCAUGCUACAAUGGCCGGUACAAAGGGCUGCGAUACCGCGAGGUGGAGCGAAUCCCAAAAAGCCGGUCUCAGUUCGGAUUGGGGUCUGCAACUCGACCCCAUGAAGUCGGAGUCGCUAGUAAUCGCAGAUCAGCAACGCUGCGGUGAAUACGUUCCCGGGCCUUGUACACACCGCCCGUCAAGUCAUGAAAGUCGGUAACACCCGAAGCCGGUGGCCCAACC